GACGAACGCUGGCGGCGUGCCUAAUACAUGCAAGUCGAGCGAGCGGAACCAACAGAUUUACUUCGGUAAUGACGUUGGGAAAGCGAGCGGCGGAUGGGUGAGUAACACGUGGGGAACCUGCCCCUAAGUCUGGGAUACCAUUUGGAAACAGGUGCUAAUACCGGAUAAUAAAGCAGAUCGCAUGAUCAGCUUUUGAAAGGCGGCGUAAGCUGUCGCUAAGGGAUGGCCCCGCGGUGCAUUAGCUAGUUGGUAAGGUAACGGCUUACCAAGGCGACGAUGCAUAGCCGAGUUGAGAGACUGAUCGGUCACAUUGGGACUGAGACACGGCCCAAACUCCUACGGGAGGCAGCAGUAGGGAAUCUUCCACAAUGGACGCAAGUCUGAUGGAGCAACGCCGCGUGAGUGAAGAAGGUUUCGGAUCGUAAAGCUCUGUUGUUGGUGAAGAAGGAUAGAGGUAAUAACUGGCCUUUAUUUGACGGUAAUCAACCAGAAAGUCACGGCU
rnacentral:rRNA from 1 species